ACACACUUCUACUACUACAUACAUUUUCUACUAUGACUUCUACUUAUUUCCACAUAUCUCUAGAACAUUCUUUAGACUUACUACUUAUUACUAAAUUUGGGCUUAAAACUCACAAGGCCCAAAACUAACAAACCCAAAAUCAAUUUAUAUAUUCAACAACCACAUGUUGUUGCUAGGAUUGGAAUUAGUUCCCUUGGUUUCUCAAAUUUUUAAUGAAAGAAAUAUCCUUGUAAGAGGAAUAGCACAUCCCAUGAUGUUUGCGAAACGAAAAACAGGAAGAUUGCCAGAAAUAUCUUCUUUUGACACAUUCAGAAUUAUGGGUGUUGUUCCUGUGGCACCGUUUAACCUCUUCAAACUUUUAUCUUCCAAGUCACAUGUCGUGUUAUAUCCUGGAGGGAUGCGCGAGGCUCUUCAUAGGAAGGUUGUGAUUGAUUAUGAUGACUUGGUGAAGAUUCCUUAUUUCAAGUCUGAAAUUGAAAGCCUUACAAAUGAGGCUAUGCAGUUGAGUGAAAAUGAUCGGCGUGAAUGUUGUGAUGAUUUUGAUCACCGAUUAAAAGCGUAAAUAUGUGAGCGUUGCACAAGGAGUUGACGAGUUUGAGUUUACAGGAAAUGAAUUUCUGAAAGAAAUACAUCUCAAUACAUCUCACCCAGGUGGAAGCUCAGGAAGGAAUCAUUCAUGAUAUUUCCAAUUUAUGCGAUGUAGCAGAAGCAAUGUGCUAGUGGGCCGGGUUGUGAAAGGCAAACCCAAUAUAUUUCUCCUUCAUCUCUAACCUAAGGGAGUUUUACACGGUUGGAAACUUAACACAGGAGGCCAUAAACAACCGUAAAGAAGGCAUAUGGUCUUGUCAUGCUGUUGAAAGGGUAAAACAGAAAAUUCAAAUUGAUUUGUGGGAGAAUCGAUUUCACUCAGACGCAGAAGCUAGGAAUAGCAGCUUCCAGUAAAAUCGCGUUUGCUUGGUUGAAUCGAUUUUAAAAAUGAAACCCAAACAUAUUUGCAAACUUCUGAAUCGCGUUUUCACCUUCCAAACGCGCGUUUAGCAGUGUCAAACGCAGAACCAAACAGGUACUUAAUAUCUGACAGCUCAGAUGGGUAAAACCGUAAAAGUAACCCAAUUUCUAUGAAUGAGAACCAAGUUGUCAUCUUAAAUCGAUUAGUAAUGUCAAGAAGAAUUAGUGCUUUGGGAAUAUGAAGUUCGUUUCAACAGAAGUAUUGAACAUUUAAUGCAAAAGGGGGGUUAAAAUGCAACUACAUAAAAUAGAUUACUAAUAUUAAAAGUUACACGUUUUAUAAUAAUAAUUAAUAGUAGAAUACACUUUGACCAUUAUGGCUUUGACAAGUCAGAUGAGUCACUAAAGCCCAUUUCAUUGAAAUGGGUAGUUAAGAAUUUGCCUUACAAAUAAUAAUGUGAGAUAUUGUAGUAUUAAUUGUGAGGUGUAUUACUUAAUGAGUAAGUUGACUAA